AUGCAGGCAGUGCAGUUGGAGUCUGUCAGCCCAGUCAGAGUCAGGUAUCUGAUCGUUGUCUCCACACUGGGAAACAAGCAAGAGAGCAUCUUGCUUGGCAUGGACUUCCCUACAUCAAACAGUGAUCAGUGCACCAUCGGUCUGGUCAUGCCAGUGUGGAGUGACACACAAGUGUAUCUGGAUGGAGAUGGUGGCUUUAGUGUGACCUCAGCAGAAGAGAGCAGAAUCUUUAAGCCCGUUUCCUUGCAAACCAUGUGGUCAGUGCUGCAGGUGUUACACGGUUGCUGCGAGCGGGCUGUCAAGGCGGCACUGAUUCCAGGCUCUGGGCUGGAAUGGGCCCAGCAUUACCACCAGCACAUAGAGUCAGACCGCCUCUGCCUCAAUGAGUGGGAAGCCAUGAAUGACCUGGAGUCAGUCCGCAGGGACAGUAAUGGACAGAAAGUUUCCAAUGAGCAACUGAUCAAAGAGCACCUGAGAGACAUCAUGAGGACUGAAGACCUGGACAACCUCACAUCUAAGAAGGUGAACGCUGCUUUGAAGAUCAGGAUAGGCUUUGACAUGAGGCCAUAUAAGGAGUACAUUGAUAAUGAGAUCCUAGUUACCAUGGCUCAGAUGGACAAGCCUUCCAAAAUAUUUGAUUACCUUUACCUGGGCUCUGAGUGGAACGCAGCUAACUUUGAGGAGCUGCAAAAAAACAAUGUUGGCUACAUCCUGAAUGUGACAAGGGAGAUUGACAACUUUUUCCCAGAGUCCCUCACUUACAUGAACAUUCGGGUAUACGAUGUGGAAAAAACCGAUCUGCUGUCCCACUGGACAGACACAUACAACUUCAUCAACACCGCAAGGAAGAGUGGACAAGCGGUGUUGGUACACUGUAAGAUGGGUGUGUCUCGCUCUGCAUCCACAGUCAUCGCUUACGCCAUGAAGCAGUAUCACUGGCCACUAGAUGUGGCACUGGCUUAUGUUAGGGAUCGCCGGCCCGUCGUUAAACCCAAUGAGGGCUUCAUGAAGCAGCUGCAGACCUACAGCGGCAUCCUCAGUGCAAGGUCAGGCCUAAAGUUGAUUGUAUUCAUCCAUCAUUUCAGCCAGCAGCGUCACAGCACACUCUGGAGGCGAAAGUCGAGAGACCAAAGACAAAAGUCACUUCACAAGGAGGGAGGAGGGGAAGAAGGAAAGCCAGAGGAGGAGGAGGAGGAGGAAGAUGAGGAAGAUGAGGGGAGCUUUGAAGAUGAGGAAGACGACACUGAGAGUCAAACUGAAAAGGAUGACUCAGAGGAAGACCAUGAGGUAAUGGCGCUGAUAAUUUGUCAUUAG
ensembl:lncRNA